CCCUACUCGCGCGCCCUCCCCCGAUCGAUCCCCAACCCACGGGCAAGCCCACCCCACUCGCGCGCCCUAUCCCCCCUGCCAAUUCCCCAUCCCAACCAGCAACCCUAGGCGGCGGCGCGCGGCAGUGCGGCACGGCGGCUGGCGGAGAGGGCGGGUUGGGCGGCGAGCCGGCGAGGACAGGCGACCAGGCGGAGCCGCGGAGGGGCCGCGCCGCCACGUGGCGCGGGCGACGGGCAACGCCGCAGAGGCUGCUCGGCCUCGGCCCUGCUCGACGGCCGGCGAGCCGGGGACCAGGGAAGGCAGGGAGCGGGACUACGGGAGCGGCGCAGGCAAGGGGCAACCGAGCAAGCCGACAGUGACAAGGCCUGGCCCGCCCCUGCGCAGAUCCACAUUACUUCGCCGCCGCGACAGAUACUCCACGCGUAGCGAUGGCUCGGCCAAUCGUGACUUUCUCAAGCCUCCUCGGCCAGAUACUCCACGCGUAGCGAUAGCUCGGCCAAUCGUGACUUUCUCAAGCCUCCUCGAGGCCGAGGAUAACAGGCAGGGCCGGAGUAUCGAUGAGGUUGCAUUCCAAGUGGACGAGCAGACCUCGCUCGUCAAUGCAGCUGAAAUCCAGAACAUCACCCGUCCAGGAGUGCAUGGAUUUGAGUUGGUAAACCCAGAGCUCCUUGACUGGAAAAGCCGCACCAAACAAGUUUGGAGGAGGCCUACGAGCGUAUGUUUAAAGCCUGUAUGGAGCAGUGCGACAACGAACUCCUCACUGUGGAGGCUCACAUAGCGAGCUUGAAGCGAAGCCUUGUUCACAUAGCGACCUUGAAGCGAAGCCUUGCCAUUCCGAACGAGGACAUACCACAAAUGGGACCUCCAGCGAAUGAGCGGAAUCAAGGCAUCCAGCAAGUGAUGUACCUUCCAUCAAUGUAUGGAGAGUUUCCCAGUUACGAAUAUGCUCCAAAUCCUGUCCUACCAUUCAGAGAAGCCUUCAAUGUUAAUGAUAGACCAGCCGCAAUAAACCGUGACAAACUUUCUCAGAAAGCUUGGUGGAAGGUUAACCUAACUUUUUUGGAGACCAAAAAGAAGGUUUUGGAGGAGAGGAAGCUAGAUUUGGAGAGGAAGCUUAGUGCUCACCUGAAGACUGCUAUGGAGGCCCCAUCCUUCCUGGGUUGCGGAUAUACAGUCUACUCUUUUCUUCAUACAUAGCUAUCAGGAUUCAGGCAACGACAGAGACCUGGGUUUAUUCUUCACAAGAAGGGGCUCGUCAGAGUAGAGUCGGUGGCAGCGUCAACCUGCUAUCCAAUGGCCAUUGUUCAAUAAAUGGUCUGUUUAGCACCUAAGUCUUAUUAUCGGUUGUUAAACAGUGUUUACUGAAUAUUAAGCUGGUCUUAUAAGUUAAUCAUUUGGCCAUUGUGCUAUAGGUGUUGGACCGAGUCUGGUCAUUCAGCUGUAGUUGGCCAUCUUGUUGGUCGUUGAGGAGAUCAAACUUCAUCUGUAUCUCGGUUUAUCCCUAGAAAUACAGCUAUCUGUUCCUGGCUAUUGCCUGCCUGUGCUUAUCACUCACUAUUCGACCCCAGUUUCGCCACUGAUAUUGCGCUGUACUGUACUACAUGCGACAGAUGCAAAUGGGCGGAGUUUGAAGUUUAUUGCAAUUACCACUUGAAUUCA